CGUCCAUCCCCAAGGACUCCACACCUAGCCUCUUUCUCGAGUACUUGCGCUCCUUGAGGAAGAGGUAGAGGGGGAAGCGGCCCUCCCAAAACUCAGACGUUGCUCCUGUCACAGGGAUCCAGAGAGACACUGCUCAAGAACAGGGCCUGGGGAACCACACUGAAGGAGCCUCAGCGGUACCCGACUCAGAAGAUGCAACCCUGGGCCUUAACCCUGAACCAGAGGCUGACACACGAUGAGACUUUGGAGGUAGAAUGCAGGAAGGUGAAAAGAGAGAAAGAGCAACAAUGUGAUUGGCAUUGAGGAUCUUCUCCUGUCUUCUGAGGACAGCAAGCCACAGUCAACCAAG